GUCUUUGUGACUGGCACUCAUGGACAGACAGUGGUGUUCAGGGACAGAACAGAUUUUGGAGGGGGUGGGGAGGCCAAUAAACCAAGAAACGUCAGAAAUAAAAGUCGCAUGAAGUACUCUGAUCUCUGUAUUUCCUUUUUUUUUUUUUUUUUUUUGAAAUUUGAUUUUAACUCUUGCUUUUUUUUAUGGUUUGUGUCUGUUUUUUCCACCCCCGCUGGCGCCGAGCUGCGCUGUUUUGUGUUUCUUUUUUUUUUUUUUUUUCUAUUUUUUUUUUUUAAAUUCUGAAGCCAGACCGUCUUUCCUCACAGCUCCACGGCUGCAUCUCCGUGGGCACGCAAGCUUCCCCUGGUUACCUGAGCUGCUCCUGCCGUCUCCCGCCUGGGCUUCGCCGUGGUGCACCCGAUCCCGGAAUCGUGCGUCUGCGCCCUGCGAAAGAAGGACCUGCUGGCGGAGCUCCGGCCGGGGUCUCCUGCCUCGCAGCUGGGCGAGGGGACUUGGAGGACAGGGUGAAGCUGCAGAAGACCUGGGGUGGGAUGGCUAGAGAGGACGCCAAGGACUGGGGAAGGGGAAGUUAGGAAUACCUUACAUCCAAUGCCCACCCGUGCUCCGCAGGGCAAGGGCAGCCGUCGCCUCGGCCGCGUGCACCCAGCUCAGGCUGUUCCCAGGGAUUUAGUCUGGGGGGACAACCCAUGGCGAGAUGUGGUGGCAUUUUACCUCAGAGUGGAGCUGAAGAUGGAUAAACAAGGCUCACAGGCAGAAGGAAUUUUCCUUGUCUUGGAUGAGACUUUUGACUUGGACUUUUGGGUUAAGUUCUGGAGACCAGAAGGCCAAAAUCAAAAGUAUGGGCAGGCUUGAUUUCUUUAGAAGACUCCAGCGGAGAACUGUGUCUCCUUGCUUCUGAUUCUACAUCUCCAUCCAUGGGCCACUGUUUCAGCAACCUCAGCCAGUGCAACACAACCUCAGCCAAGAAGAGUAUGCAGAGAAAGGAGUCCCCUACCUGCCACAAAACUGUUGUCUGAAAACUGUCUCAUAUUGUCUCAAGUUGUCAUUCAUUGUGAAUUAGACCUGUUUAACAUGUAAUCUGCAACAUGCUUCACUGUCUAAUUUUCCAGAGCCCCUCAUAUAAGGAACUGUAUUAUUGGUAUAAUCAUCAUGGUGAAGAAGUUGGUAUGUGGGGGAGAGAUGACAGAAACAGAGAGUAAGUCAGAGCUGGCUGCCUGACAGAUAAAAAGGAAAUGACCAAAAAAAAAAAAAAAGACACAGAAGAAUACUUUGUUGUCCACACAGAAAAGGGAAGUGUAGGUAAGACAGCAGUAGACUAAGAUUCUUAAGACUCAAGUUCUAGUCUUAUUUAUUAGCUAUGGGAGGCCUUGAGGGAGUUCUAGAAUUAAGUGAUCUCUCUUUAUAAAAUAGGAACAGUAAUAACUUCCUGGCUAACUCCCUGGCUGUCUCACAAUGCUGUAGUAGUAAGAAAUAAUUUUAUAAUUAAAGACUAUUUUAGGGCUGAUUACAUUUUUGGGCAGUGGCUCAUACAUGUAAUUUCAACAUUUUGGGAGGCCAAGGUGGGCGGAUUGCUUGAGCCCAGGAAUUCAAGACCAGGCUGGGCAACACAGACCUUGUCACUACAAAAGAAAAAAACAUUAGCUAGGCGUGGUGAUGUAUGCCUGUGGUCCCAGCUACUCAGGAAGCUGAGACAGGAGGAUCACCUGAGCCUGGGAGGUCGAGGCUACAGUGAGCCAUGAUCACACUACUGCACUCCAGCCUGGGAAACAGAGUGAGACUCUGUCUCAAAAAAAAAAAAAAAGGAAUAUUUUACACUUCAAGGUUCUAUACAAAUGUAAAAUAUCAUUCUAUUACUUAUUUAUAAUGCUGAUUAUUCUUUAAAUGACUUUAAAAUGUUAAUCUCUGCUUGAGCCUACGGAGAAGUAUGUAACAAAUUUGUGAAGGAUUGGCAUUAAACAUAGUCAAAAUAAAACAUAGAAAUUAUGGUAAAUAAUUUAACUGGUAAAAUAAUCUAAGUGGUAGUUCUCAGGUAAGUGGAAAUUCGAUUAGCUGAUUGUUUAGGAUUCUUGGUUAUAAGUGACAGAGACCUGACUAAAAGUACAUGAAGCACAUAACUGAGAAGGUUGUGGUAUGGCUCAGCAGAAAUGGGAAAAUCUUGGGACUGGUUCGUGUUUUAUUUACAUUAUCUUUGUUCCCAGGCAGUCUCUGCAUGUAAGUGGCAAAGAUGACUGUCUGAAAAUAUAUACCUACUUUUUUAAAGGGCUAUCUCAAGCCAUUCUGGAGAAGCACCAAAAGCCACUUUGCUUAUACUGGGAGAAUAGUUUGCUUUCCCUAAUUUGUGAUGAGUGAAACACUGAACAGAGACAUAGAAUAAUAUUCUGUAGUUCAGGGUUGGUGUAAUAUGGCCAGUGGGCGGAAUCUGGUCCUCAGACUGAUUUUGCAAAUAAUCUUAUAGAAACACAGCAACACCCAUUCAUUACAUGUUGUUUAUGGUUGCUUUGGGGUUACAAUGGCAGAGUUGAGUAGUUGUGACAGAGAUCACUAGGCUCACCACAUCUGAGAUAUGUACUGACUGACCCUGUACAGAAAGUUUGCUGCUCUUAGAGGAAUGUGUGUUUCUAGUGUCAGCAAUAAACUUCUUGGAUUUGUUUUGUUUUCUCAUCUUUACAUGAUAGUUGCAGACUAGUUGAUCCUUGUGACCUGUUUUUGAAUGCCACUGUGUAUUCUGUCAGGGCCCUCUGAUUCUGUUUCUUAUGGUGCUGAAUGCACAAUUUAAUGCCCUGGAAUUUCCUUCUGUCUUCUGCUAAACUCAUGCCUCUUCAGAUAGUUAAAAUCCUGUUCUACCUUAGAAGUCUCCAGAGUUAUUUUCCUAAAUUAAGAAGAACUGGCUUUGAAGUUACUCAUUAUGCCACACACAAUGGUUGAAAAGAGCAUCUCUUAUGUACUGUGUAUAUUUCAGCAUCCACUCAGCUUCUUAGGUAGAAAAGGAAGAGUCUUCCACAGUGUAUUUUAUCCAUAUUUGGGUCAGAAACUCUUCUUUACCACGGAGCGUGAUGGAAGAAAGAUAUGGGAUGGUAACAGUAGGCCAGGGAUGUAAUAAUCACAAAAUUUGAGAUAUUUUGUGACUGGUGACUCACGCCUGUGAUCCCAGCAUUUUGGGAGGCCAAAGCGGGCGGAUCACCUGAGGUCAGGAGUUCAAGACCAGCUUGGCCAAUGUAGUGAAACCUCAUCUCUACUAAAAAAAUAUAAAAAUUAGCUGGGUGUGGUGGUGCACACCUGUAAUCCUAGCUACUCAGGAGGCUGAGGCAGGAGAAUAGCUUGAACCAAGGAGGUGGAGGUUGCAGUGAGCUGAGAUUGUGCCACCACUGCAUUCCAGUCUGGGUGACAGAGCGAGACUCUGUCUCAAAAAAAAAAAAAAAAAAAAUCUAGAAAAAGAUCUCCAAGAUUCAAUCAUCUAAUUAUUUCUUUUAAAAAUGAGAAAAAUGACUCCUGGUCAGCUUUUACCUUCUUUUUCCAACUGUCUUGACAAUACUUUCAUAUUGGGCUUUUAAAGUCUCAAGUAAUAGGUUUUUAAAACCUCAGCUGAUAAAAGUAUAAAAAUAAAGUUAAAACAUAUUAAAGACAAAACCCAAGAAUCAGCUUCCUCUUCCUUCAUUACUCUUGCAUGGGUGUUGGCUCUAAUUUCUCCAUCUAGUUAGGCAGUCCUUUGCUUUUUAUUGCUUGUUUAUUGAUGACAUUUGCCAUUUGUAGCAAUAGUAAUAGAAUCAUCUAUAUAUUUGUGGCCUUGUUGAAUGUAGAAAAAGGAUAGUGGCAUUUUCUAAUUGUGUAACCCUAUAACACCUUGACGGGGGACUACAGUUCAUAUGCUGGACCUUUUGUGUUUGUUCAUGGCGGGUGGGUUGCUUUAAUAUACUUAGCACAUUGUCCUAAUUGCCAUCCUUUUGGGGAGGGCUAUAUAUCCAAGCUAAUAUGGUAGCAUUUUUGUUUUAACAUAGAGCUGACCCAAGGUAGACGUAAGUGUUGUUCAUUUUUGCCUAAUACUAAUAAAAUUACCUAAUUGUUGAAGCUUGGAGCUUGAAUCUAGGCAUUUUAUUUCAUUUCAAGUACACCCUAGUAUUUUAAAGCAUAAAUAUCCUACUAUCCUCAACAACUUUAGAACAAAAAUAAAUAUUUUAACAAGAAAAAAGCAUGCCAUGACAAGCUGUAACUUAGUAAAGAAAGACAAGGAAUGGUCUCUAUAGACCGAGAAAAAAUAGGUCCUCAGAUAUAUUUAUACCAAAGGAAUGUUAUGAAUGUAAAAAACAGUUUGACUCCCCCCCCCCCGCCAAAAAAAAACUCCACAACCCUAUAUUUUGUUAUCACAAGACUGUUUUAGUGAAUAAAACAGUAUGAAUUGGUUUUACCUGUUUCCAUUUAAUACUUAUUAACUUUAUAAUCGUAUAGCCUGAGGGUUUUAACUUCAAGUACAGCAUGAUGACUAUAAUAGUUUUACACAAGGCAAAUGUGAAAAACAGAAGUAAUUUCUUUUAAAAAGUGUGAAAUAUCUAAAAGGUAUGACUUCAAUACAUCAACUCAGGUGAGACAGACAUGUAACUUCUUUUUCCAUGUUUAAACCUAAUAUUGCUUUUGUGCCUCUGAAGGCUCGGAGUUUCCAUGCCUUCUUAGGACAUGCCACCCUCUCCACACCUGGAUGUGUUCACCAACCCAGAAGCUCUUGGAACCCCAUCAUUUGGGGUUUUUAUGGAGUCCCCAUUAAGUAGGUAUGACUGAUUAAAUCACUGGCCAUUGGUGGUUGACUCAAUCUCCAGCCUCUCUUCCCUCUCUGAAGGUGAAGGGGUGGGAAGGUGAGGCUAAGUUCCAACCCUCGGAUCACAGGGUUGGUUCCUCUGCAACCAGGCUUCAUCGUGAAACAAUACAGGGCCCACCGAGAGUCACCCCAUUAGCAAACUCAGAUGUGAUUGAAAGGGGCUUAUUAUGAAUAUCAAAAGACAUUUCUCUUUCUCCUAUUACUCAGACAGUUACAAGGGUUUCAGAAGCUCUUGCACCAGGAACUGGGAACAAAGACCAAAUAUAUAUGUCUUCUUCUAUUACAAUGUCACAGGUGUGACAGAGUAGGUAAAUGGAGUCUCAGAGAGUCCCCAGAGUAUUCCAUGGAGCCACAAAAUGAAGAAUAAAUGGAUGGUUCUCCCCAUGAUCAAAAGUGGCCUGAAAAUACUUGAGAAUGAGUCAUAACUUAAAAGGCUGUAUAGUAGAAAAGAAUGCACAGAGGACCGAAUGUAAAAGAAGGCACCCCAGUCUCAGCUAGUGUGGAUGCAUGCCAGUGUAGAAAGAUGCUAGUGUGGCUACAUUGGUGCACUGAAGACCAAACUCCUGCAUGGCCCCACAUCCUUGAUACCUUAGAUCUAUAUCAUCCCCUAAAACUUAGGUGUUAUGACAUUCAGGAUAUGCUACCCCAUCAUUUUUUAGGCUGAAGGAAUUUGAGAAAACAGAAGCAGGAAUGUAAUUGCCCAGUGGGUUCUUCCUGCCCUGUGCACAGACAAAACCAGUUCACUGAGACCAUGGUAUUGCAGUUAAGAAAGAGUUUAACAGGAGGCUGGCCACAUGGAAGAAUUACAGUUAUUACAAAUUAGUCUCCCUGAAGGCUCAGAGGUCAGGGUUUUUCAUGGAUAGUUCGGUGAGCAGUGGAUUAGGGGUAAGUGCUGCUGAUUGGUUGGGGAUACAAUCAUAGGGGUGUGGAAAAUGGUCCUUGUGUGCUGAGUCACCUCUGGGUGGGAGGCCAUGGGACCCAUUGAGUCAUGAGUCACGAGGCUGGGUUGGGUCAGUGUGAAAAACAUCUCAAAAGACCAAUCUUAGGUUCAAAAUAGGUGAUAUUACCUGUAGGAGCAAUUGGGAAAGUUAUAAAUUAUAUGACCUCUUGGCCCCAUGACUUCUGAGCAGUAAGAGAUGAUAGAAACUAAACCUACAUUUUAUCAGCACUCAGGCCUCUUCCAUAAUCCUAAUCUUGUGGCCUUUCGUUAGUCUUAUAAAGGUGGUUUGGUAACUGCCCUCAAGCAAGGAGGGGAUCAGUUUUAGGGAGGUGCUAUUAUCAUCCUUGCUUCAAAGUUAAGCUGUAAACUAAAUUCCUCCCAUAAUUAGCUUGGCCUACACCCAGAAAUGAGCAAAGACAGCCAGCCUGUGAUGUUAGAAGCAAGAUGGAGUUAGUCAUGUUAGAUUUCUCUCACUGUCAUAAUCUUUGCAAGGGAGGUUCCAGGAAGGUCAUCCUACCUUUCCCCUCACCCUUCUCAUGUGACACAGGUCAUAAAGCCUAGGAAGGAUUUUCCGACCUUUCCCUGAAGCAGGUCGUAAGACCCUCAUUGGGGAGGUGCCAUUUCUAGACCAAGAGAAAAGGCACAUCCUUAUGUCUGAAGACACAGGGACACAGAGAAGAAUCUGAACAAACAGGUCUUGCUAAGUUCCCCCCAGUUUGUUUUCAUUAGAUCAUGCCCCUUUAUUCAAUGCUGUUUCUCCACAACUAUCCAUUUCUUCAUCAAGCCUAGCAUAAAAAAUACAGGUUUCACGGUUUCUUUGGGUCUUCAUUUCCUUAUAAAGUCUCCUGUACCAUGUAAAACUUAAAUAAGUUUCUCUGCUUUUCUCUUGUUGAUUCUGUCCUUUGUUUUAUAACCCUCAGACAUGAACCUAGUGAUGAGUGAGGGGAAGAUAAUUUAUUUUCCUCUACAGAUGCAAAAGGGAAAAGGGAACAAUCCCUAAACGGAAGUUAUGAUCCAGGGAUCAGAGGCUCAAAAGCAAGAUUAGGUUUAAAUGUAGAAAAAUACAUUCCUCUUUCAUUUUAGAUAUCCCAAAUGCCCAAAUCAACCCAGCUAUUUCUCAGAAGUCUGUUUCCCCUCCACCCUCUGCUCCUCUGUGUAGUGAAACUGUCUCGUUUGGGAGUAAAAUGGCCUGGCUUUCCUUACUGAGUAUACUCUCAAGACUAUUGCCUAUUACUUUUUUCCAUUCCUUCUUGAGAACUACGCUUUUUAAAACAAGAAUUGACUCCAUUUAUCUUUUUCUUUUAGCCUUCUGCUGGGGUAUGCCUUCUCUAAAGCAAUGAAUAAAAAAUGCUUUAGCUGAAUAAAUGGGGCAAGGAUCAAGGAGUACAAGCUAAUAUUUCACAAUAUUAUCCUGCCAUAAAUAAAAGUAUGGUUUAAAUGACAAUGGUGGGGUUAGGAGUUACAGGUCACUGAAACACCACCUUAUUCAUGCUACCAGCCCCUUGGCUUUCCUGAUGGCAGCAGGGAAGCAACACAUAGGUAGAAUUAUGAGCCAACAUCGUGACUGGAGAGGGAUUGAAAAUCUUAUUUGUUGUCUUCCUAGACUAUUACAGUUAUCUGUUGAAAUUAGACUCAAUUCUUUGGCGAAAGUACUCAUUUUUAAGGUCCAUAAUAAAUUGUAACUAUGUAGCCUUUGUUGCAUGAGUUUAGUAUGAGCUGAUUGGUGGGCCACAGUGAAAGGCAGAGGGAAAUGGAUGUUAACUAAGAGGUAGAAGUCCCCUUGAAGUUCUGACCCUGUCACUAAUGAAGUCUUUAUUUCCGUAUUUAGUAAUUGCCUUUUUUUUUUUUUUUUGAGACAGAGUCUUGCUCUGUCGCCAGGAUGGGGUACAGUGGCACAGUAUCUGCUCACUGCAACCUCCGCCUCCCAGGUUCAAGCAGUUCCCCUGCCUCAGCUUCCUGAAUAGCUGGGACUACAGGUGUCUGCCGCCAUGCCUGGCUAAUUUUUGUAUUUUUAGUAGAGACGGGGUUUCACUAUGUUGGCCAGGAUGGUCUCGAUCUCCUGACCUCGUGAUCUGCCCACCUCAGCCUCCCAAAGCUAGGAUUACAGACGUGAGCCACCAUGCCCGGCCAACUGCCUUCUUUAUAUCUCAUUUUAAAAAUUUAUAACAAAGAAGUGGGUUGAUUUUCAAGACCUAGUUGUGUUAGUUUGAAUGAGAUGCAUACAUUUGGCAAGUCUGGGGUCUAAGAAAAGAUAAAGAUCUGAAUGCUGAAAAUCUAGAGAAUUCAGGUUACUGGGGGAUAACUUAAAGUCACUAGGGAAUUCGGGUUACUGGGGGGAUAACUUAAGGUCACUAGGGAAUUCGGGUUACUGGGGGGAUAACUUAAGGUCACUAGAACCCAAAUGCAGGGAAGAGUUGGGUGCUCUUUGGCAAAUAAACAUUCCUGACUUAGCAUUUUUCUUAAACCCGAACGUGCCAGCUGUUUUUUUGUUUUUUUGUUUUUUUGUUUUGUGACCUCAGCCAGGCUUGCGUGUUUAUUCAUCACAUAUUCUAAGCUCAUAUACAACUGUGACCUGAUCCAGCCUUCAAGGAACUCACUCUUGAUUUUAGGAAUCUUUCCACCACUUCGAUUUCAUCUUACUCCUGAAACAGUCAGCCAGAACUGUCUAAUUCAGUCUAUACUUCUGAUACAAAACUCUACCCAGCAACCACUAUGGUUUUGUUGCUUUAGGUACGUGUUAGAAAGCACCCACAUCAAUUUACAGAAAAUCCUUAACUGAAUCUCUAGUCCCAGAGGAGUCAUAUUUUAUUAUAUGGUGCUUUUUAUUUAAAGAGAUCGGUUUAAUAGAAAUUACUCAGGCAUUUGAAGUGAUAGCUUUAAAAUGUGGGACUGGGGAAAAUAAGAACACUUGACCUCUCUCCAUAAAAUUGAAUUGUUCUUUAGGUUUAAAGUUUUGACAGACAAAGAGAAAGUGAGAGCAAGUGAGGGUGAAAAUAUAUCCUUAUUUGGUAAUGAGUACCCAUUAAGAGGACAGUAUAUUACAUUUCAUCUUCUUACUUCACAUUCCUGUUUUAAGGAUUUGUGAGCAAAGUGCUGUGAGACCUCUAGAGUUAAGAGGCUGGAGAUAGGUAGUUUUGAUGGUAUUUUAAGGAGUGCUCCAUAAUGUGUAGUGUCUGAGUGCUGAAGCUUAAUCAGCUUCAAUUAAAUCCAAAACAUACUGAAUAGCUCCUAUGUGUCUGGCAUUGAGCUGUGUGCCAAAGUGGUGGAAAGAUGUAAGAGCCACUGAGGCUUAGAGAUGAAAAGGAUCUUGGAGCCACUGGUUUCCUGCCUGCUGGAGUUUCACCAUCAAGGACCCUUUCGUUAUUUUCCUUCUCCCAUGCAUUUUAUUAAAAUUUUUGGUUUAGUAAACCAAAUUCACUAAUGGGAUGUUAUUUUCAUAUCAAAGAGUAUAAUUCUGCCAAUCAAGGCUUCUGAUCAGCAUAAAAUAAUUAGGUUUCAUACUGAAUGCACAAAUUCUAGUCAAAAGCAAAGCCAUUUGAUGACAUGUCUGCUAUGUUGCCAUUUGCUUUAAGAGAGGUAAAGGUAGCCUGACUUCUGUUCACUCUGUAGUACAGAAUACAUUGUUAACAAGUCAUAGGUAUGUUCUUUUAGGUUUCUAAUUACUGUCAGCCUCUCAUUUCAGACAGGUGAUGUGAUAAGGUGAAAUGAUUACUAUAUUUAGACUCAAAAGUCCUGAGUUUGAGUCCUCGUUUAACGAUCUAGUCCAUGAGCUUCAGUUUUCUCACCUGUUAAAUGGAAAUGAUGAUUAUUUCCUGGAAAUUGCAUUUCCAGGUUGUUUUGAAUGAUAAAUGAUAUGGUGUAUAUAUCAGCUGUUUGCAAACCAGAAAAAGCUAUUCUAUGGUAAACACAUGCAGUGGGCUGAAUUGUGUCUCCCAAAAUUCAUAUGUUGAAGUCCUCACCCCCAGGGCCUCAGAAUGUGACUGUAUUUGGAUCUAGGGUCUUCAAGAGAUAACUAAGUUAGAAUGAGGUCAUUUGGGUUGAUCCUAAUCCAACUGACUGAUAUCCUUAUAAGACGACGAAAUUUGGAUACAGAAAUACACAGAAGACAGGGAGAAGAUGGCCAUCUACAAGCUAAGGAGAGAGGCCUCAGAAGAAACACACCUGCCACACCUUGAAUUUGGACUUCUAGCCAUCAGAACUGUGGGAAAAUAAAUUUCUGUUGUUUAAGCCAGGAGUCCUCAACCCCCGGGCUGUGGACCUGUACCAGUCGGUGGCAUGUUAAGGACUGGGCUCCACAGCAGGAGGUGAGUGGUGGGCGAGUGAGCAUUACUGCCUGAGCUCCACCUCCCGUCAGAUCAGCAGUGGCAUUAGAUUCUCAUAGGAGCACAAACCCUAUUGUAAACUGAGCACGCAAGGGAUCUAGGUUGUGCGCUCCUUACGAGAAUCUAAUGCCUGAUAAUCUGAGAUUGAACAGUUUUAUCCCCAAACCAUCCCCUCCACCACCCCCGUGGUCUGUGGAAAAAUUGUCUUCCACAAAACUGGUCCCUGGUGCCGAAAAGGUUAGGGACCAGCGGCUCAAGCCACCCAGCCUGUGGUACUUUGUUACGGUAGCCCUGGCAAAUGAAUACAACACGUUUUAGACUAUGAUGUUACACAUGCAGUGUGUUGAGAGCCAAAGAACCCAAAUGAUUCGUGGUAUCUGCCCUUGAAGAGUUUUUAAUCUUUUUGGGCAUGAUGAAACAUACACAUGGAAAAUAAAAUAGCAUAUAACCAAGUGCCCAAAUCAGUAAUAAAUACAGUUGACUCCAUAAACAUUUAGGAACCUUCUAUCCCAUGUUUCCACAUUCUAUCCCAGUGGCUUUUGCCACUAAAUUUCUUCACCCACUAUUAGACUGAUGUUUUCAUCUUUCAGUAUCAGACUCAAGCUUUAAUCUAGAAAGAGGGGGUGGGGGGAUAAAUGCUAUACUUUGGAACCAGUCCGGAUAUUUUAAGUAUGUUUUUAAAAAGUAUAAUCCUCACAACAUGAAAGUUAUUAGUUCUAUUUUUCAGGUGAGAAGAGUUAAGGUCAAACAGACGAAAGCUAGUUAGUGGAGGGACUGGUAUUCCAAGCCCAUUCUGGUUAAACUAAAUCUUGUGUUCUUUCCACUAGAAAACUGCUUUUUGUCUUAAUUAUAAUUUUGUGACAAGGAUGUAUAGUCCAUUAAGGAAUAUAUACAACAGAAGAAGCAUUUAAGUGGACUUGAGGUUUGUGAAUCUGAACUAGUUUCUAUCGACUUUCACAUCAGCAGCUCCUAUUCUGGGGAAAGAGAAUGGAGGCUGGGAGUGAUCCUGACAAACCUUGAUGUGCAGGCUUGUGGAGAAACUGGAUUCACACCCAGGCUCGUGGAGUGUGGGAGAGGCUGGCCUGUCACAAUAUCAGGACAGCCUCUCUUAAUAACACUGCAGAAGGAAUCGAGGGCCCUGUGGUUUGCGGUCAGUGUGCCUCUUGUGCCAACUUUGGCACUACAAUGUCUUCAAUCACAUUAUCUUCCAAACCGGCUCUUCAUCCUAUGUCCUUAUUUCUGCUAAUGGUAUUCAUUUCUCUUAUUCAUGGACUCUGGGAAUCUUGGUGGUAUUAAAACCUGUCUCUUCUUUCCCCCUCGAUCUUCCACAUUCCAUUUCCUUUCAGCAGAAUCCCAAGCCUUCACCAUUUUUCAUUUUUGGUGCUGUUUCAGAGUUGCUGUGAACUUUACCUGGGUCCUCUAUCACCUUACCCAGCCAUUUGUCAUUCUGCCUGGUAAAGGGUUGAGCAGAUUUAUCUAUAUGAAUGAUCUUAUUUAAGCUAUUCUGUACACCUUCUGCUACUUAAACAGGCUCUAUGCUUCCACAUCUGCUCUCUAUCUGCCUAUGUGACUCAAACUUCAAUUGUCCAUCUCAGACAUCACAUCCUCCAUGAAGCCCUCUUGGGUUAUUUGAAGUAAUCUCUCUUCUGGGCUCUCAUAGCAUUACUGCUUGUAACUCUUUCAAAAGAUGAAUUUUGUGCUGUUGUUUACUUAAUGAGUACAAAUUUAGUGAUAAAUUUGAAAAACUUGUGUCCAUGUUUGAUAAAUAUGAAAAUCUCAUCAUUUUCAAUAUUUCUUAGAAUUUCAAAAUGUACUAAAUAUUAUUAAAAACCAAUCAUGGCAAUUUUAACAUUGAGUAUUCUUUUUUGAAAUAUGAAUGCUCCUCUCUCAAGACUGGUAUACUUUCUCACUCUACUCCCUUUUCAAGUGCCCUUAUCGAACUUUGCUGAUGAAAUCAUCUUUUCUUAGUUUGUUAGACUUUGGAUGGUGGAGACCUGUGCCUGCUACUUCUCUCAUCUCCUGAUACCUAAUGCAUAGUGUUCAGUAAGUAUUUAUUUGGUGAUAACAAUAUCAAAAACUAGAUAAUGCUUAGAAGAUCCAACACCUUCCAAAAUCUCUGUUAACCAGGUACUGAAAUAUGGUCAACCAGAUGAGCUGAAAUGUCAAGAACUUAUAGACACACAUGGUUUCAUGGUUGUGAAACUAGAAGAUGUGGCAUAUUUUACACAAUGGAGGGAAGAGCAAAGGUUAUGCAUGUGCGGAGGCAGAGCCCCUAGGCAGGUUUCCCUCUUUUCCUUCCUGUGCACUGAUUUUUAUUUUGGUGAACUGAAACAGGGGUCUAACAAACUGGUAUCUCAUUUGUCUUUAUAAACAGAACUGCCAGAUUGGCUUUGCAAUUCAGGGCCCUGUAGGGUGCCCACCUCCUCAGUUUGGGCAGCAGCAUUACAUCUGAGUCUUAGAAUAAAAAUGGAAAGCAAUGGCUCAACCCAUUGGUUUGUCACCAUCCACAUGAAGGAUCUCUAUUGGUAAAAAAACAGACUCCCGUGUUCAAGGCCCUGGGGCUGGAAUCAAAUCCAUCAUUCAUUUAUUUCGGUUUUUUAAGGCUAAAUACAUAGGGAAGAAAAUGAAAUGUGAGAAAGCUGUGCAUUUUCAAUGUCAUCUUGAAAGUGAGUAUCUUUAGACACAUAAAGUAGAUGAGUGGUUAACUUGGGCUGGGAGAGGGAGUGAGGAGUGGUUGUACAUGGCACAAGGUUUCUAUUUAGUGUGAUUGAAAUGUUCUAUAAUUUGAUUGAUGAUUGUACAGUUCUGUAAAUAAACUAAAAUGUAUUGAAUUGUAUAAUUAAAACAUGCAGAUUUUAUAUUUAAAAUAUACUUUGAUAAAAGUGUUUUAAAAAUGAAUAUCUCAUAGGGUAGAAUGAAAUGAAUAAGAGAAACAGUGAGGCAUCCAGGGGACUUUCUGCACAGUGGGUCUGUCAUUAGGCAGGUACGUUGCCACAGCCAGUUCUAAUGCCCACUCAUAGGCCAAUGCCUAGGACAAUUGCUCAGAUAUCGCCUCUGACAGGCA
rnacentral:lncRNA from 1 species